rnacentral:rRNA from 1 species
AUUGAACGCUGGCGGCAUGCUUUACACAUGCAAGUCGAACGGCAGCACGGGUGCUUGCACCUGGUGGCGAGUGGCGAACGGGUGAGUAAUAUAUCGGAACAUGUCCGGAAGUGGGGGAUAACGUAGCGAAAGUUACGCUAAUACCGCAUAUGCCCUGAGCGGGAAAGGAGGGGAUCGUAAUACCUUUCGCUUUCUGAGUGGCCGAUAUCAGGUUAGCUAGUUGGUGAGGUGAAGGAUCACCCAGGCGACGAUCUGUAGCGGGUCUGACAGGAUGAUCCGCAACACUGGGACUGAGACAAGGCCGAGACUCCUACGGGAGGCAGCAGUGGGGAAUUUUGGACAAUGGGCGCAAGCCUGACUCAGCCAUGCCGCGUGAGUGAAGAAGGCCUUCGGGUUGUAAAGCUCUUUCAGCCGGAAAGAAAUCAUGCUUACUAAUACUAAGUGUGGAUGACGGUACCGGAAGAAGAAGCACCGGCUAACUACGUGCCAGCAGCCGCAGUAA